AGCUUUGUGCAGCGGCAGUAUCGUAGCCAAUGAGGUUUAUCCGAGGUGCAAUUAUUGCUAAUUGAAAAAUAUAUAAAUAAAUAAAAUAAUUCUUUAAAAAAAAAUCCUGAGACAAGAAUGGAGAAGGGGUAGUGGCAUGGCCAUUACCCCAGGGGGGGUAACUUCUCAUUUU
rnacentral:snRNA from 11 species